rnacentral:rRNA from 1 species
AAAGCGAGCGGCGGAUGGGUGAGUAACACGUGGGGAACCUGCCCCUAAGUCUGGGAUACCAUUUGGAAACAGGUGCUAAUACCGGAUAAUAAAGCAGAUCGCAUGAUCAGCUUUUGAAAGGCGGCGUAAGCUGUCGCUAAGGGAUGGCCCCGCGGUGCAUUAGCUAGUUGGUAAGGUAACGGCUUACCAAGGCGACGAUGCAUAGCCGAGUUGAGAGACUGAUCGGCCACAUUGGGACUGAGACACGGCCCAAACUCCUACGGGAGGCAGCAGUAGGGAAUCUUCCACAAUGGACGCAAGUCUGAUGGAGCAACGCCGCGUGAGUGAAGAAGGUUUUCGGAUCGUAAAGCUCUGUUGUUGGUGAAGAAGGAUAGAGGUAGUAACUGGCCUUUAUUUGACGGUAAUCAACCAGAAAGUCACGGCUAACUACGUGCCAGCAGCCGCGGUAAUACGUAGGUGGCAAGCGUUGUCCGGAUUUAUUGGGCGUAAAGCGAGCGCAGGCGGAAAAAUAAGUCUAAUGUGAAAGCCCUCGGCUUAACCGAGGAACUGCAUCGGAAACUGUUUUUCUUGAGUGCAGAAGAGGAGAGUGGAACUCCAUGUGUAGCGGUGGAAUGCGCAGAUAUAUGGAAGAACACCAGUGGCGAAGGCGGCUCUCUGGUCUGCAACUGACGCUGAGGCUCGAAAGCAUGGGUAGCGAACAGGAUUAGAUACCCUGGUAGUCCAUGCCGUAAACGAUGAGUGCUAAGUGUUGGGAGGUUUCCGCCUCUCAGUGCUGCAGCUAACGCAUUAAGCACUCCGCCUGGGGGAGUACGACCGCAAGGGUUGAAACU